ACGGGUGAGUAAUGUCUGGGGAUCUGCCCGAUAGAGGGGGAUAACCACUGGAAACGGUGGCUAAUACCGCAUAACGUCGCAAGACCAAAGAGGGGGACCUUCGGGCCUCUCACUAUCGGAUGAACCCAGAUGGGAUUAGCUAGUAGGCGGGGUAACGGCCCACCUAGGCGACGAUCCCUAGCUGGUCUGAGAGGAUGACCAGCCACACUGGAACUGAGACACGGUCCAGACUCCUACGGGAGGCAGCAGUGGGGAAUAUUGCACAAUGGGCGCAAGCCUGAUGCAGCCAUGCCGCGUGUAUGAAGAAGGCCUUCGGGUUGUAAAGUACUUUCAGCGGAGAGGAAGGCAGUGAGGUUAAUAACCUUACUGAUUGACGUUACCCGCAGAAGAAGCACCGGCUAACUCCGUGCCAGCAGCCGCGGUAAUACGGAGGGUGCAAGCGUUAAUCGGAAUUACUGGGCGUAAAGCGCACGCAGGCGGUCUGUUAAGUCAGAUGUGAAAUCCCCGGGCUUAACCUGGGAACUGCAUUUGAAACUGGCAGGCUUGAGUCUCGUAGAGGGGGGUAGAAUUCCAGGUGUA
rnacentral:rRNA from 1 species